UUUAGUUUUUAGAUAUAAAGUUUUGACUCUUCGUCUUAUAUGAAAUAUUUUUGUGAUUAAUAAUUUUAUUGUUAUUAGAUGGUAAAAUAUGAGUAGUAAUUUAUGCGUGACUAAUUUUUUAAAGUUUUUUUAAUAAAUUUUUUAAAUAAGAUAAAUGGUCAAAGCGUUGGACAUAGAAAUCGAAAAAUGAAAUUAUU
rnacentral:pre_miRNA from 1 species